AGGUGCGCCUGCGCAGACUGG
rnacentral:misc_RNA from 1 species